GAAACUAACAAGGAUUCCCCUAGUAACGGCGAGCGAAGCGGGAAGAGCUCAAAUUUGAAAGCUGGCGUCUUCGGCGUCCGCGUUGUAAUCUCGAGACGUGUUUUCCGUGCGGCUCUAUGGACAAGUCCCUUGGAACAGGGCAUCGUAGAGGGUGAAAAUCCCGUACUUGCCAUGGAAGUACCGUGCUUUGUGAUACACGCUCCAAGAGUCGAGUAGUUUGGGAUUGCUGCUCAAAGUGGGUGGUAGACUCCAUCUAAAGCUAAAUAUCGGGGAGAGACCGAUAGCGAACAAGUACCGUGAGGGAAAGAUGAAAAGCACUUUGGAAAGAGAGUUAAAAGUACGUGAAAUUGUCGAAAGGGAAGCACUUGAAGUCAGCCAUGCUGCUUGAGACUCAGCCUGGCUUUUGCUUGGUGUAUUUCUCGGUAGCAAGCCAGCAUUGGUUUGUGUCGUCGGAGAAGCGCAUGGGGAAUGUGGCAUCCUCGGAUGUGUUAUAGCCCUGUGCAGGAUACGACGACGUAGACCAAGGAACGCAGUGUGCCCUCUGGGCGGGU
rnacentral:rRNA from 1 species